AACAGAUAAGGAGCUUGCUCCUUUGACGUUAGCGGCGGACGGGUGAGUAACACGUGGGUAACCUACCUAUAAGACUGGGAUAACUUCGGGAAACCGGAGCUAAUACCGGAUAACAUUUGGAACCGCAUGGUUCUAAAGUGAAAGAUGGUUUUGCUAUCACUUAUAGAUGGACCCGCGCCGUAUUAGCUAGUUGGUAAGGUAACGGCUUACCAAGGCGACGAUACGUAGCCGACCUGAGAGGGUGAUCGGCCACACUGGAACUGAGACACGGUCCAGACUCCUACGGGAGGCAGCAGUAGGGAAUCUUCCGCAAUGGGCGAAAGCCUGACGGAGCAACGCCGCGUGAGUGAUGAAGGGUUUCGGCUCGUAAAACUCUGUUAUUAGGGAAGAACAAACGUGUAAGUAACUGUGCACGUCUUGACGGUACCUAAUCAGAAAGCCACGGCUAACUACGUGCCAGCAGCCGCGGUAAUACGUAGGUGGCAAGCGUUAUCCGGAAUUAUUGGGCGUAAAGCGCGCGUAGGCGGUUUCUUAAGUCUGAUGUGAAAGCCCACGGCUCAACCGUGGAGGGUCAUUGGAAACUGGGAAACUUGAGUGCAGAAGAGGAAAGUGGAAUUCCAUGUGUAGCGGUGAAAUGCGCAGAGAUAUGGAGGAACACCAGUGGCGAAGGCGACUUUCUGGUCUGUAACUGACGCUGAUGUGCGAAAGCGUGGGGAUCAAACAGGAUUAGAUACCCUGGUAGUCCACGCCGUAAACGAUGAGUGCUAAGUGUUAGGGGGUUUCCGCCCCUUAGUGCUGCAGCUAACGCAUUAAGCACUCCGCCUGGGGAGUACGACCGCAAGGUUGAAACUCAAAGGAAUUGACGGGGACCCGCACAAGCGGUGGAGCAUGUGGUUUAAUUCGAAGCAACGCGAAGAACCUUACCAAAUCUUGACAUCCUUUGAAAACUCUAGAGAUAGAGCCUUCCCCUUCGGGGGACAAAGUGACAGGUGGUGCAUGGUUGUCGUCAGCUCGUGUCGUGAGAUGUUGGGUUAAGUCCCGCAACGAGCGCAACCCUUAAGCUUAGUUGCCAUCAUUAAGUUGGGCACUCUAGGUUGACUGCCGGUGACAAACCGGAGGAAGGUGGGGAUGACGUCAAAUCAUCAUGCCCCUUAUGAUUUGGGCUACACACGUGCUACAAUGGACAAUACAAAGGGCAGCUAAACCGCGAGGUCAUGCAAAUCCCAUAAAGUUGUUCUCAGUUCGGAUUGUAGUCUGCAACUCGACUACAUGAAGCUGGAAUCGCUAGUAAUCGUAGAUCAGCAUGCUACGGUGAAUACGUUCCCGGGUCUUGUACACACCGCCCGUCACACCACGAGAGUUUGUAACACCCGAAGCCGGUGGAGUAACCAUUU
rnacentral:rRNA from 1 species